AACAACAUACACCAAGCACCACAUAACACAAGAAUGAAACAAAAGAUAAUACAAACAUAGUAUAAUCCAAACUUAGUACGGAAUGGAAAGACGGAUAAAACAUAAAAAGCCAACAGACUUAGCAUAGUCUUAAAAGAAACUAGAAAUGUACUAACUUAAAACCAUAAACUAGUGAACAACAAAAAAGAAAUGGCCAACUCAAUCACUUU
rnacentral:lncRNA from 1 species